AUUCAUCCUUCGGGAUGGGUUAGCGGCGGACGGGUGAGUAACACGUAGGCAACCUGCCUAGAAGCCUGGGAUAACUAACGGAAACGUUAGCUAAUACCGGAUACGCGGUUGGAUCGCAUGAUCCGAUUGGGAAAGAGGGUUUCGGCUCUCGCUUGUAGAUGGGCCUGCGGCGCAUUAGCUAGUUGGUGAGGUAAUGGCUCACCAAGGGCAAGAUGCGUAGCCGACCUGAGAGGGUGAUCGGCCACACUGUUUUUCUCACACGGCCGAANCUCCUACGGGUGGUUGACUGGGUGGU
rnacentral:misc_RNA from 1 species